rnacentral:lncRNA from 1 species
CCUCCCAAUAAUUUCUCGCUCAUCAGACUCACUUCUGAUCCAAGUUAACUUAUUCGUUUCUGUCUUUGCAAAUUGAUUUUAUUCCUGCUACUGCUUCCCCAAGCUGUUUACAUAAUUAUCUUGGUCUUUUGGUUUGAUUAAUAUUCUUGUUUCUUUAGUUUCUUGAAUUUGAAUUAACUGAUUUUUUCAAUUUGAGCGGGUGGCAACGGCUACAUAAUUGAACUGUGAUAAACUUUUUGCUUGAUCAAAGAUUUGACGAUCUUUAAUUCUGGGUUUUGAAUUGAUUAGGGAUUUGGGAGGAAAGAUGAGCAAGGUUUAUGAAGGAUAUGAAAGGCAGUACUGUGAGCUGUCUGUAAAUUUGUCAAGAAAAUGCAAUUCUGCUGUUUCUCUUCCCGAUGGAGGUAUUGUAAAGUUUUUCAAUUUCACAUUUUAGAGCGAAUUUGUUGAAUAAUUAUAUAAUUUUCUGUGG